GUACUGGCGGGUUUUGGGAUGGUUCCUCUUCCUCUCCUUCUGUUGGAAGCACAAUAAGGUUUUUUUUCUCAGAACUCCACUGUGAAAAUCUGGUAGGGCUCCUAGAGGCAAAAUUCACAGAGUGUGGGACCCUCUGGAGUGUUCAGUUCUCGGAUUUGCCUGCUCUGAGGCUCCAGCAGACCUUCAAUUGCAGUUCAGCUUUCCCCGACUCUGGCCCAGUUUCCUGAGGAGGUUUCUAUGUGCGGGUUUCUGCUCAAGAAGUUCCUUCAACAUUUGCUGCUAAGCUGGCGUCUUCCUCAAGGGCUCACACCAGUGAGUACUCCCCCAGAAUGACUGACAGAAGUGUGCACAUCCCCGCCGUGAGCCACACCUGCCCCCUCGACCGCCUCCACAGGAGAGGCUCCAAUACAAGCAGGACUGCCAAGAAAAAUAUACAGACUGUUCUCUGCUCCUGGCUUGGCUUACAACCAAUAUUUAUGAGUUCUGCCAUGUGUCAGGAAGAAAAAGUCACUGGUACAUGGUGAUUCCUGCAUGGACAGCUCAAAGAGCAAAUCCAAAGUAGGGGGUUGGUGCUGACGUGGACAGUUGGAUACAGCUGCUGUGAGCUGCUCCAAGAGGAUGAUCCAGACUUCUAUCAGACCUGGAAGCCA